AGAAAAAGAAUAGUACGUACGUGGAAAAAGAAAUUCUAGUGAGCCGAGCCCAAGUCCGAUCCUGAUUCUGCUCCUCAAUUAGACUAAUCAACCCGCCGCGGCAUCAUAUAUCAUCAUAUAUGUAUCGGAACCGCCUCUUCGAGUCUGCUCAGCUUCGUCGUCUUGGAUUGAUUUUCUGAUCGCCGGCUCGCGGCGGCGACUUGUUAGUUGAUUCGUCGAUCGCCUCCCUCUCCGGCCGGCCAGUUCUUUAUUUUAUAUAUACAGAUCUAGUAAAUAGAUCGGAUAAUAGUAAGAUGGCUUCUUCAUCAUCAGUGGAUUGCAUUGCAGCUCGCGGCGGAUCGGCGCCUGCGCAACACGGAGGAACGACGACGACGGUCAGCCUUCCAGAGGAUAUCUACACUCGCUGAUGCCGUUGCGAGAUGCUGCUCAGGCUGCCUGCGUAUCCCAUGCCUUUUUGCGUUUCUGGCGAUCCUAUGGCAGGCUCGACUUUGACAUUUACACACUAGGAUUACUGGAUGUAGGCCGCCGCCUGUUGUCGUUUGGUCCCAUUGACAAAGAAUUACCAGUUAUAGAGGAUCAACUGAGGAGGGGCGUCAUUGCAACAUUCGACGAGUACUUCGAAAAGAAUAGUCCUAUCAUAAAAGAAUUCUCUGCCAGAGUUGAUCACAUCAUGCAUAACCACGUCGGAACAGGUGUUCAGACAUUCAGGCUUGUACCUCCCCAUGGCUUCUACAUAAACCCUGCUGUUCUUGACCGCUGGUUCCAAGCUGUCAUCGCACAGGGGAUCAGUGAAUUUUACCUGUACCUAGACAUGGGCGAUGAGGGGCUAGGUUACAACU